UGGGGGAAUUUUGGACAAUGGGCGAAAGCCUGAUCCAGCAAUGCCGCGUGUGUGAAGAAGGCCUUCGGGUUGUAAAGCACUUUUGUCCGGAAAGAAAUCCUUGGCUCUAAUACAGUCGGGGGAUGACGGUACCGGAAGAAUAAGCACCGGCUAACUACGUGUCAGCAGCCGCGGUAAUACGUAGGGUGCAAGCGUUAAUCGGAAUUACUGGGCGUAAAGCGUGCGCAGGCGGUUUGCUAAGACCGAUGUGAAAUCCCCGGGCUCAACCUGGGAACUGCAUUGGUGACUGGCAGGCUAGAGUAUGGCAGAGGGGGGUAGAAUUCCACGUGUAGCAGCGAAAUGCGUAGAGAUGUGGAGGAAUACCGAUGGCGAAGGCAGCCCCCUGGGCCAAUACUGACGCUCAUGCACGAAAGCGUGGGGAGCAAACAGGAUUAGAUACCCUGGUAGUCCACGCCCUAAACGAUGUCAACUAGUUGUUGGGGAUUCAUUUCCUUAGUAACGUAGCUAACGCGUGAAGUUGACCGCCUGGGGAGUAC
rnacentral:rRNA from 1 species